AGCAGCCGCGGUAAUUCCAGCUCCAAUAGCGUAUAUUAAAGUUGUUGCAGUUAAAAGCUCGUAGUUGAAUUUCGGGAUCAAAGAAUCGGUCAUGCCUUGGUAUGUACUGGUUUUAUUGGUUCUCACCUUCUAAAGAACCAUGAUGUCAUUCAUUUGAUGUUAUGGGGAAUUAGGACUGUUACCUUGAAAAAAUUAGAGUGUUUAAAGCAAGCUUACGCUUGAAUACAUUAGCAUGGAAUAAUGAAAUAGGACAUCAGAUUCUAUUUUGUUGGUUUCUAGGAUCGAUGUAAUGAUUAAUAGGGAUAGUUGGGGGCAUUAGUAUUCAAUUGUCAGAGGUGAAAUUCUUGGAUUUAUUGAAGACUAACUACUGCGAAAGCAUUUGCCAAGGAUGUUUUCAUUAAUCAAGAACGAAAGUUAGGGGAUCGAAGACGAUCAGAUACCGUCGUAGUCUUAACCAUAAACUAUGCCGACUAGGGAUCGGAUGAUGUUAAUUUUUUAAUGACUCAUUCGGCACCUUACG
rnacentral:sRNA from 1 species